AACUGUCAUGGCUGCUGUCAGUGAGGGCCCGUAAUGGAGAUCGAGUCAAGGGUUGCCCAGGGACACUUAAGAGCCUUCGGCUUCAAGGAGGCCUCUCAAAGGACAAAGGAUGAGACUGCCUGGCGGCAGAGUGCCCCCCACAAUCGUAGGAACUGUGUCGCCGCGCUUCCCGUUAACUUGCCGCUAAGUUUUUCUAGAAAAGUCGCCCUUCUUGCCAGGGUGGGACCUCACUUCUGACCUAGCCCUUCUUUGUGUACCAAGUUUUUGUUUCCGUCAUUUCCCGCAGCCCGGGAGCUCGGCGGGCGAUACUGUGGUAGCCUGGGAGGAAGGGGCGGGCCGGAUGCUGGAACCGAGAGAGGUGGGGCUCGUCGAGGAGUCACGGGCGGCCGAGGCUGGAGUCUCCUAAAUGCAACCUUGAGCUGUUCCACCCUUUGGUGCUUGGUCUGUUAGCUCGAGGUGCUCCUCACCGUGGAGGCGUUUAGAGCUGGUCAUAAGGCUCUUACCUGCUGACCCAACCACCCUCAACCACAGCUUGCCCUGCUCCAGAUAGACUUUGAUCCUAGAAAAUAUCUAAGAUGGGUGUAGUGCAGUAUGUUAUUGUUUUAAGUCUCAAACAUAAGCAAACUAUUAUUAAAAGUUUUAGAAUUAAUAGGCAGAGUUCA
rnacentral:lncRNA from 10 species